AUUGCCAUAACUCCGAGCUCACCCAGCUAAGUUCGAAUGAAUAAGCUUGCUGAGCCAGUGACAAGUUGUCACAAGGGCAUAGUUGGAAAUGAUUGUGCCUCCCGUGUUUGGAAAGGUGUUCCGUGGCGCAACAA
rnacentral:ncRNA from 2 species